rnacentral:lncRNA from 1 species
UUCAGAUAUCGAGUGGUAAACAUAAAAUGAUCAAAAUGAAGUACUAUAUAAGUGAUAGAUAUCUUCACAAACACCUUAAAUUUGCAAGUAUACACAAGAAGUUGACUUGGAGUUCUAAGAAAAAAAUUAAAUUAGAAACAUAUGUUGAUUAAGAAUUUAAUUUUGUUAAUGUAGAUUCUAGUUAUCCCACUUUACAUUCA